rnacentral:rRNA from 1 species
GACGAACGCUGGCGGCGUGCUUAACACAUGCAAGUCGAGCGGUAAGGCUCCUUCGGGAGUACACGAGCGGCGCACGGGUGAGUAACACGUGAGUAAUCUGCCCUUCACUUCGGGAUAACCACCGGAAACGGUGGCUAAUACCGACUACGACCAGUCUUCGCAUGAGGUGCUGGUGUAAAGUCUUUUCGGUGCAGGAUGUGCUCGCGGCCUAUCAGCUUGUUGUUGGGGUAAUGGCCUCCCAAGGCUUCGACGGGUAGGCGGCAUGAGAGGGUGACGGGCCAAACCGGGAACGAGACACGGCCGAGACGCCUACGGGAGGCAGCAGUGGGGAAGAUUGGACAAUGGGCGAAAGCCUGAUCCGGCUGCGCCGCGUGAGGGAUGACGGCCUUCGGGUUGUAAACGUCUUUCAGGACCGACGAAGCGUACUGUCGGGUGGUGACGGUAGGUACAGAAGAAGGACCGGCCAACUACGUG